rnacentral:rRNA from 1 species
AGAAUCAACGCUGGCGGCGUGCCUAACACAUGCAAGUCGAACGAGAAAGGGUAGCAAUACCACUAGUAAAGUGGCGCACGGGUGAGUAACACGUGACUAACCUACCCUGGAGUGGGGGAUAACUGAGGGAAACCUUAGCUAAUACCGCAUAAUACCUACGGGUCAAAGGAGCAAUUCGCUUUGGGAGGGGGUCGCGGCCGAUUAGUUAGUUGGCGGGGUAAUGGCCCACCAAGACAGUGAUCGGUAUCCGGCCUGAGAGGGCGCACGGACACACUGGAACUGAAACACGGUCCAGACUCCUACGGGAGGCAGCAGUGGGGAAUUUUGCGCAAUGGGGGAAACCCUGACGCAGCAACGCCGCGUGGAGGAUGAAGUCCUUCGGGACGUAAACUCCUUUCGAUCGGGAAGAUAAUGACGGUACCGGAAGAAGAAGCCCCGGCUAACUUCGUGCCAGCAGCCGCGGUAAUACGAGGGGGGCGAGCGUUGUUCGGAAUUAUUGGGCGUAAAGGGUGCGUAGGCGGUUUUGUAAGUCUUAUGUGAAAUCUAUGGGCUCAACUCAUAGACUGCAUGAGAAACUGCAGGGCUUGAGUGUGGGAGAGGUGAGUGGAAUUUCCGGUGUAGCGGUGAAAUGCGUAGAUAUCGGAAGGAACACCUGUGGCGAAAGCGGCUCACUGGACCACAACUGACGCUGAUGCACGAAAGCUAGGGGAGCAAACAGGAUUAGAUACCCUGGUAGUCCUAGCCCUAAACGAUGACUGCUUGGUGUGACGGGUACCCAAUCCCGCCGUGCCGUAGCUAACGCGUUAAGCAGUCCGCCUGGGGAGUACGGUCGCAAGGCUGAA